UACGGAGGGUGCAAGCGUUAUCCGGAAUCACUGGGUUUAAAGGGUGCGUAGGCGGUUUUAUAAGUCAGGGGUGAAAGCAUGCAGCUUAACUGUAUAAUUGCCUUUGAUACUGUAGGACUUGAGUAAGGUUGAGGUUGGCGGAAUGUGACGUGUAGCGGUGAAAUGCUUAGAUAUGUCAAAGAACACCGAUUGCGAAGGCAGCUGACUGGGCCUUUAUUGACGCUGAGGCACGAAAGCGUGGGGAGCGAACAGG
rnacentral:rRNA from 1 species